rnacentral:lncRNA from 1 species
UCUCCUGACCUUGUGAUCCGCCCGCCUCAGCCUCCCAAAGUGCUGGAAUUACAGGCAUGAGCCACCACGCCCAGCCGUAUGAUUACCCUUAAGAGUUAACUACCACACUCAAAAGAGGGAGGAGUGGGAAGGAAGAGGCGACGUGAGGGAGCCACUUGGCAGGGGGAGCAGGCGUGCUCUGCAGAACCCCGUGGGCAGCACCAGCGAGUCAGCAAUGGGAAGAAGUGACACGACGGCACAACUCCCAACUCUUUGACCUAUUCAAAGAUGGAACUUCACAGAGAAUCAGCUCUGCUUUGUCCUAGACACAUUUAAAGAGAGCUGAGACGGCCUGUCAGCGCAACUAGGGUUGCCACACACGCCAAGUGGAGGAGAAGAGCCUGCUGUGUGCGCGCACCUGACAGUCACCGGCUUCUCUUUACGUUUCCAAUAGGAAGCGCACACUACGCUGUGGGAACAAAAACACCAGGUGUCUGCUAUGGCCAAGGCAGAUAAGGUCUUUCUCUCCAACAGGAUCCAGAGAUGAGCCACUGGUACUAACACCCAACGGCUGAUGAAGCACGAGUCAAAGAUUAUGACUUGGACUUAGUCACUGGACAUGUGGAUUAUGAGUUGGACACAUACACACAAGUAUCUUGACAUACACAUAUCACAGAGGAACUUCAGAGGAAGGGGCUCCUAAGAAAUGUCUGGCAACUGAGGGAACAGGAAUACGUCUGCUGAGGGACACGUUCUACAAAACAAUGAAGUUUGCUGCAUCAACUGCAUUUUCCUUUCAUGAAAAAUUUCUCUGUACCAUGCAGUGGUGUUUGACAGCAUGUUACCCACAGUAGAAUUACUUUCAAAAUCUGAGUCAAUCUUCUCAAACCCUGCCGCUGCUUUAUCAACUAAGUAUGCACUACUGUAAAUCUUUGAUCACUUCAACAAUGUUCACAGCAUCUUCGCUGGUAGAUUUCCUCUUAAAAAACCACAUUGCUCAUUCACAAGAACCAAUGCCUCAGCAAUUUACGUUUUCUCAUGAGACUGCAGUAAUUCAGUCACAUCCUCAGGCUCCAUGUCUAAUUCUAGUUCACUUGCUAGUUCCACCCCAUCUGCAGUUACUUCCUCUACUGAAGUCUUGGAAUGAACUUCUUCCAAACUCCUGUUCAUGUUGCAUUUUGAC